rnacentral:rRNA from 1 species
CCGCCUGGGGAGUACGCACGCAAGUGUGAAACUCAAAGGAAUUGACGGGGGCCCGCACAAGCGGUGGAGUAUGUGGUUUAAUUCGAUGCAACGCGAAGAACCUUACCAGGGUUUGACAUCCUGCGAAUCUCUUGGAAACGAGAGAGUGCCUUCGGGAGCGCAGUGACAGGUGGUGCAUGGCUGUCGUCAGCUCGUGUCGUGAGAUGUUGGGUUAAGUCCCGCAACGAGCGCAACCCACGUCGUUAGUUGCCAGCAUUCAGUUGGGCACUCUAGCGAGACCGCCGGUGAUAAACCGGAGGAAGGUGUGGAUGACGUCAAGUCAUCAUGCCCCUUACAUCCUGGGCUACACACGUACUACAAUGCUACGGACAAAGGGCAGCAAACUCGCGAGAGCCAGCAAAUCCCAUAAACCGUGGCUCAGUUCAGAUCGUAGGCUGCAACUCGCCUACGUGAAGGAGGAAUCGCUAGUAAUCGCAGGUCAGCAUACUGCGGUGAAUACGUUCCCGGGCCUUGUACACACCGCCCGUCACACCAUGGAGGUUGGCCACGCCCGAAGCCGUUACUCCAACCCUUGUGGAGGAGGACGUCGAAGGUGGGGCUGAUGACUGGGGUGAAGUCGUAACAAGGUAACCAAU